UACGAAGGACCCAAGCGUUAUCCGGAUUUAUUGGGUUUAAAGGGUGCGUAGGCGGGCUGUUAAGUCAGUGGUGAAAGCUCCGAGCUUAACUCGGAAACUGCCAUUGAUACUGACGGUCUUGAGUACAUUUGAGGUGGGCGGAAUGUGUCAUGUAGCGGUGAAAUGCUUAGAUAUGACACAGAACACAGAUUGCGAAGGCAGCUCACUAAACUGUAACUGACGCUGAGGCACGAAAGCGUGGGGAGCAAACAGG
rnacentral:rRNA from 1 species